UUUGCAGGCCUAAACUUGGGGGAGAGGCCGAAAAAGAGGCUUUUAAUGUUGCGACUCCCGCUGGCCCGACCAGUUUCUUUCGGGUUGAUUUGAGUGAGAUAGAGAUCUUACGGCUGUUUUCUUUCCCCCCUAGCGAUGUUUUGGAGACUGGUAGGAAAAUUUUCUCCUUGGCCUGGGCAGUGGAAUGUCCAAACACCUGAGCCCUAGCUUUACGUAGGGAGAAUGUAGGGAUUGAGUUGCAGUUGCGUAAGAAAUUUUCACUUAUUUUAUGUCUGUUUUUGCCGUAUAUACUUGUUUAACAUUGUCUUUCUUUUCGCUCAUGUGUUUUAGUGGUAUAUAGUGUGAUAUUUAGGUCCUCUGCUUGCACUCAAGGUUAUUAGGCAACCAUUUAGUACACCGAAAUUUUUACCUAAUAAUACCUCAAGUGGCCUGAUCUGGUGCUACAUGUCUCAAGUCUUAGUGGCUGAACCACAUCACAGGAUGCUACCUAAUUUAAGCCAUAGUCCUGGGCUCUCAGAGAAUCCCUUUGCCAGUCUCUUGAAUGAGCUAAGAAGAAGAAAGGGUCAUGCCAACUGGUACCAUAUAAUACAAAGAGAACCUGCUUGAUCAGGUGGCUUCAUUGAGGCCUGCUGUAUCAGGGGCCUGCUGUGUUCACCCACCAAGGUGGACUUUCAAGUUCUUUUAUUCUCAGAUUUUGAACCUCACAUUGUUCUUUUGAGUAAAAUGCACAGAAAGACUGCAGCAGGGAGACAACAACUGUCCAAUUCAUUCAAAUAGUAUCAAUAUGAUUUAAUUAUCUUAGGUGUUGCUUUGCUUUCUGUUAAAUAAAAUAAAUUAAUGUUUAAAA